AGAUGCUCUCUUGACCCUCCCUGGUCUGGAAGACUAUAGGACUCCAUAAAAACAGCAGUGAUUCAAUCUGAGAUGCAGAAUUGAGUAAUAAGCAGUGAGAAUGGGUAGUGCUGAUGCAGAAGGAGGGAUGUUCUCUCAAUCACACCCUUCAUCUUGCUCGUCUAUACUUACCAGCAACACAGAGAAGGAAACAUGCAAAAAGUAUUCCAAUUUGAACAAAGACAAAAUACAAGGACCUGGGAGCUCCCUUUAAACAUCAUGAACAUGUUUAGUAAUUCAUCUGAGGGAAAAUGCUCAGUAUCAGUGCAUAUAGAAAAUGUACUAAACCAUUCCUUUAAACAGAUGAUUACAUUGUUAUUAUUUCAUUUAGGUUGCUAAUACCAGAGAUAGUUUGAGAAUGCUUUCAAAUGAAGAAAUAAGUGCAGUAUUUUCUCCUGUGCCAUCACCUGUUCUGUUGUUCCCUCCUCUGUGACCAUGGUGCAAUCUGUUAAACAGUACAAGUACUUAAUGUAAUACCUCCAGAAGUUGUAACAUGGACAAUGUUUGGAGUACAAGGAUCAAGUGGCAGAAGGCCUCUUGUUUUGAUGGCACUUCACCAGUAUCUUGCUGCAUAUACUGAUCUCUGCAGUAUUUACCACAGUGCACUCAGUGAAUCAUCAUUUGUGCUUGGAUUAUAACAAAGCUUAAAGCUAUUUGCCUAUUACUUCCAGAAGGCAGAAAAGAAACACCUCAAGGUAUACUCAAAACAGAACCUCAUGCCCAACUCUGCCUGAAGCUACUUUUGUCAGAGCAGCUAGAAUUGUUUUAAUUGUAGUUUAUAUAAUCAUCAUUGUAAUUGACUACUGCCUCUUCUGCAGAGAAGAAAAACAUGAUGGCUAUUCAAAUAUAUAAAAUAAAAAGCCCAGAAAAACUAUCAUUAUGCAUGGACUGCAACUGUAUUUGCACCUUCUACUACUUCUUAUGACACCUAUUGGAAGACACCAUAAAAGCACUGUUUUACAACCUUUCUUACUUUGUUAUUUGCACUAUGUUUUAACCCUGUGGUUUAUGGUCAGUGAAACAAAGAGCUGCAAACCAAGCUAUUCAAGAGGCAAAGACUUGGUGCAAUUACUCACCACAUGGCAAACAUUAUUGACACAGCAGCUAUUUAGUUUGCUGAGGUAGGUCUUACAUGUAAAAUUUUAACUUUCCAUGUUCUAAGAAAUUAAGAUCAUCAGGACUGUAAAAAGAAGAAAAUCUUGGAUACUCCUGCACAAAGUGUUUUUACAACACUGACUGGAACUUAAGGGAAGUCGACCUGCUUAAAUUCUUUAACAAUUUUCAUAUUCUUGUUAUUAUGACCUUACUACUAUGAAGCUGGCUAUGAAACAAGAUCAAGCAGAAGACAGUACAAUUUGGAAUGUGAGAAUACUGCAGGUUUGCCAAAUUAAAUCUAAACCAGGAUUUAUUUUAAAAUAAAUGAAAACCUACUUUCACUGGCAGAGAAAAAUUAUGAUUACAAAGAGUACAAUGGAUCUAUCUGAAGGUAACUAUUAUUAGAUAGGCAAGUAACAGCAGUAAAGUAAGUUCCACUUAACAGUCUUUCCAAAUGGCAAAUCAACUUGCAGAAUCAAGUUUCAGAAUAGGUUUUAAUAUCUGAAAAGAUGUACACUAUUUUUUCUUUACUCAUUACAUUUAGACCAAUGAAGUUUUAUUACAAUUUUAGUGAACUACCUUUUUUUGGUGAAUUUGUCCCUUUUACUGUUGAAUUCUGAAAUAUAUCAAAAAAUAGGAACACAAA